GCCCUAGUUUCGGCUGGGCAUAUACUAAAAUUGGAACGUUAUAGAGAAGAUUAGCAUGGACCCUGCGCAAGGAUCAUAUGCAAAAUUGUGGCACGCACUGAAUAGAA